UAAGGCCCUUGUCCCAGGACUUGACAUCAGGAACAGAGAUGGGUCUAACCUGGGAGCAGGAAGUCCAGCACUGCUGACAUGCUGACAGCAUGAUCUCCUGCCAUUCUGCCAAAAUCGAAGCUCACCCUGAAUUUUUUUUUUUUUGGCUGAGCCCAGAAAGAGUUCUGGAGCCAGGGAUUGAACCCAAGCUGCAGCAGUGACGACAUCGGCUCCUUAAUCCCUAGGCCACCAGGGAACUCCAAUGAUUUAAUUUUUUGAAACACUGGGUCCAAAGUAAUAAAAUGGAGGCAGAAGUGGGGGGCAGUAUGCGGUGACCCUCCAUUUUCUUAAAUCCUGCUUGGGUAUGGUUCCUAGGAGGGACCAGAAAGUGAUGCUGGCCCAGGUACACCAGCUUCCACAGCCUGUGACAAAGCCCGGGCGGGGAACAGCCUCCCCCGGGGCCCCCUGGAAGUGUUUUUGCUCUGAAUCCUAUCAGUUUGAGGCACUGUGCGAGGCCCGAGUGGGGAUUUCAGAACAGGGUCCACCUUGGGAGGCUGAGGGAGAGGGACUGUCCUUCUCAGGCCUCUCCGUGGCCUCAUUCUCGCCUCCUCUUAGACUUGGAUUCUGAUACGAAAAUACAUCAGCGUUAUCCCUAAACUGGGUCAGCUUACCAAGGCUAUAAAUACAUAGUUGAAUUUCAUGUUCAGUAAAAGCCAAAAGUCAAAAUUCCCAAAUGCAUUUUUAGAAUGCCGGCUGGCAGGCCGACAAACGGGAUUUAGCAGCAACUAGGCUUGUUGACAGCUUGCUUCUCACUUCUCUCCACCAACAAGACCUACACCACAGGGCGGCUCCGAGCUUUGCAGCACCUGCCAGGGGAUGCAGCCCAGUCCAAAACACAAUGAGAACCGCGUCUGACCCCUCUGGACCCCCCAUGUCUCCUUUGUGUGUAUAAACUAUAUAUUACUGUGAAUUUUGAAACCCACAGCCUUCUCCCCAUGUGAAUCUCCAUUUAAUUUCUCUAAGGCAGUUCAAAGAGGCUGAGAAGUCCUGGUCAUGCUUCUGGUUCUGCAGCGUUGAGUACAUCUUGGUAAGAUGUUUUGAGAUAUUGUAAUUUUUCUGGAAGUGUUACUUUUUUAAUUUGUUUUAUUUUUUUAAUUUUUUUUUGUUUUGGUCUUUUUGUUACUUUUUUAAAAUUGAAGUAUAGUUGAUUUACAAUGUUUCAGGAGUACAGAAAAGUGAUUCAGGUACGAAUAUAUAUGUAUAGUCCUUUUCAGCUUCUUUUCUAGUAUAGGUUAUUACCGGGCGUUGAAUACAGUUCCCUGUGCUAUACGGUAGGUCCUGGUUUACUUUACUUUUGAAGAACUUAAAAGUUCUGGGCAAGAUUAGACCAAAGGUAGGGAAGGUAGAGAUAGGAUGAAGGAUACAUUUCUCCCUGGUAGCAGAGCGCCAGGCUUCUCCAACUGGAAUACUGACCAUGGGUAAUGCGGAAGUAGUCCUGGUGGAUACAGGCUGGGGGCAGGUGCCAACAUCUGCUUUUCUUUGCUUUUUAAGCCACACCCAUAUGGAGGUUCCCAGGCUAGGGGUCCAAUCGGAGCUUUAGCUGCCAGCCUACACCACAGCUCGUGGCAACCCUGGAUCCUUAACCCCCUAAGCGAGGCCAGGGAUCGAACCUGCAUCCUCAUAGAUACUAGUCGGAUUCCUUUCCACUGCGCCACAACAGACACUCCACAAUCUACAUUUUUGACAAGUUUCCAGGUGCCAAGAUGCUGCUGGACCAAAGACCUUACUUGAAGGAGAGGGUGCAGACUGCACCCUGGGUAUUUCGGGGAAUGAGCAGCUCCCAUCCGUUCAAAAUCCAGGUUGACAGAAACCGGCGCACCUGAUGCCAGCGGAGGCCAAGGGCUGCCUGAUGUUUAAGGUCCUGAUGUGGACGGAUGGCCCAGCUCCAUGGUCUGGGCACAGUCCUUUCUCUCCCCAUCUCUGCCGCUUCGUCUGAAAAACGGGAACAGUCGUAGUACCCACCUUAUUGGGGUUAUUGUGAAUUGACUUGGAGGAACACACAGCGAGGCUUCAGCACGCGGGGCCGCGUGCUGCUGUCAUCAGCACAGAGACAAGGAUUCUUUCUAGGUUGACGUCCAAACAAGGCAUGUUUGAAGCAGGACAGGAAAGGCAUGGUGCUCCCCCACCCCCACUGCCCUCCCCCUCUGAUCCUCGUUUAUCCCGUGUUGCUGUGGCUCUGGCGUAGGCCAGCGGCUACAACUCCAAUUCACCCCAGCCUGGGAACCUCCAUAUGCCGCGCGGGAGCGGCCCAAGAAAUGGCAAAAAGACAAAAACAAAAAAAAAAAAAAGUAAAAUUUGGACUAUUCUCAAGGAGUUUGCCUCAAAACCUGUGUGCGGCUUUCUCCAAACAUCUCUGCUUGCUCAGUCCCUCCCCUGCCAGAGGCCCCUUCUCCCUAAAGCAUCUUGGGAGGCCUGUAUGGGCUCAGACACGUACAAAAGAAGGAACCAAACAGCAGUGGAGACAGAGGUGGCAACGCCUGAGAUGCAUUCAGGGAAGGAAGGGAAAAACUUUUGAACAGAUUUCUAGGUCAUGUGGUGUCUUGAAGUUUCUGUCUCAGGCUAUAUUUUUAAACAACUAAAGACAAAGCAUACCCCAGGGAGGAGAGCUGCUGGGGUUCUGGCAAGCUCUAAUCAGCAGACUGCAUUUCAUCCAGCCCGAGGGCAAGGCUGGAAGGGGCGAGGGCCUGGGGUCUUCCUUCUCUGCCCCAUCCGCCCCAGGGGGGCAAAGUGCCAGCAAUGGAGCAAGCUUUGGGUUCAAAUGACCUCACACACUCAUCGAAGGAGGGCCCUGCCCCCAUUACCUCAGAAAUGCAGACUCCAAGUCUCCUCGGCAAACAGUCUGCCUGUGACUUGAACUUGAGAGUCCUGGGGCCAACAUCUGAGCUCCCGAGAGCGCCCAGGCACGAAAGGUCAGAAGACCAGUUUUCAACAACUAGAAGCCUUUGGCAGGGGCAGGCUGGUUCUGCCGGGCCCAUGAGCCAGUACCUAGUUGGCACUUGAUGUUGACCUUUGCCCCUCAAGCGCUCCGGCCUCCUGUGACCCCGUGGUGAUUGGGGUUAUUUCUGAACCUGCUCUUUGGCUUGCUCUGUCUCCUAAUCCUCAAGAAAAGCUGACCAUCAAACACUUCAUCUGAUUUAGGGUUUGCCUUCAUCUGAGGUGCGUGUGUGUUUGUGUGUGUGUGUGUGUGUUGUGUGUUUUAGUUCUUAAUUUCUCAGGAAGUUCAAUACCAAUGGGAGCUGAAUCAAUAAUUACCGUAGAUGGUAUCCAACUCCCUGGGAUUAGGCCCAGGAAAAUCAGCUUUUAAAAGAUCUGAAGACCAUGUGACUGCGAGGCCUGCCAAGCAUCCAGCCACUCUUGGAAGAAAAAAAGAAAAAAAGCUGACAACUGAACUAAUUUUCUCCACACAUAACCGAGGAGGACACACUCCGUGACUUUUAGAAGGAAAUAAAGGACCAGAGCCUGGUUUAUUUAUACAGAUGCAAAGACUCCUCCACCAGGGGGUGGGACUCCUUCUCCAGCACCUCCUCUCUCGCGUAUCCCGGUUUCUCACUCCACACGGAAAGGGCAUUAAGAGGGAAACCCAAACCCAUGCCCGACUCAGUGUGGACAAGCGUUUGAGUCCAUCUAGGUUGGCAUCCUUGACGUCAGAGACCAGCAGUUGCCACGCCCUACGCAGGGUCUGCUCUUGUCAGGUCACCCCGACCCGGAAGGGUGUGGCAGUAGCUUCCGUCACAUCCCGCUGGAGAAUUCCCUGGAUCUAAUCCAUAGGAGAAAACAUCCACCUUUCCCAGAAUUCAUGAGGAUCUACUCCCUCCUCCUCCUCCCAAGCGCUUCCUCAGCCAUUUGAGACACUGAUCCCCAAGAUAAGGCUCCUGCUGGAGGCUGCCAACCGCCCCCAUCAAUGCCCCACAAAGGCGUCUCUUAAAGAUGGAGACGUUCCCACACCAGAAGACUCACGACGCCAGCAACCCUGGCGACCAACAGAGACGUGCAAAGGCAACACGGGCAUCGUGUUCUUAGAUAUUUUAGAGUCUUGACAGUUGGUUUAAAAUCUGCUUGGCUCUGUUGUUGAGAACCAAAGAAAACUGGAGAUAACCCACACUUCUAUUUCUUUUUGAGAGGAAAUGAUAAAAUCCUGCAGACUAGCCUUGAUUUUAAUUUACUCUCUUCUAUGCUUGACCCUACCACAAAACACUCUAUGAAAUCUGUUUUGAUACGGUGUUGUAUGCCCUCCUUUAUUCCAUCUUUAUCGACCUCAUCUGGUUAACUGUGAUUUGGCUAUUUUUUCCAGCUCUAGUGAGAUAUAUGAUUGACAUGUAACAUUGUGUAAGUUUAGGGUCUGCAGUAUGUGCGUUGAUCCACACACAGGUUGUAAAAUGAUUACUAUGCUAGCCUUAGCUAACACUGCCAUCACAUCGCAUAAUUAUCAUUUCUUCUUUGCUGUUAGAACAUGCAAGAACUACUCUCUCGGAGUUCCCAUCGUGGCGCAGUGGUUAAUGAAUCCGACUAGGAACCAUGAGGUGGCGGGUUCGAUCCCUGACCUUGCUCAGUGGGUUAACGAUCCGGUGUUGCCAUGAGCUGUGGUGUAGGUCACAGACUCGGCUUGGAUCCCGCGUUGCUGUGGCUCUGGCGUAGGCUGGCAGCUCCAGCUCCGAUUGGACCCCUAGCCUGGGAACCUCCAUGUGCCGCGGGAGCAGCCCUAGAAAUGG
rnacentral:lncRNA from 1 species